rnacentral:rRNA from 1 species
UACGUAGGGUGCGAGCGUUAAUCGGAAUUACUGGGCGUAAAGCGUGCGCAGGCGGUUUUGUAAGUCUGACGUGAAAUCCCCGGGCUUAACCUGGGAAUUGCGUUGGAGACUGCAAGGCUGGAGUCUGGCAGAGGGGGGGUAGAAUUCCACGUGUAGCAGUGAAAUGCGUAGAGAUGUGGAGGAACACCGAUGGCGAAGGCAGCCCCCCUGGGUCAAGACUGACGCUCAUGCACGAAAGCGUGGGGAGCAAACAGG